rnacentral:rRNA from 1 species
CCAAUCGAACCCGGAGAUAGCUGGUUCUCCUCGAAAUAGCUUUAGGGCUAGCCUCAUGGAUCAUUGGUGGGGGUAGAGCACUGAAUGUGCGCGGGGGCCACAAAGCCUACCAAACGCUAUCAAACUUCGAAUACCAUACAAUGCAGACCAUGGGAGUCAGUCCGCGAGAGAUAAGUUCCGCGGGCAAAAGGGGAACACCCCAGAUCAACCGCUAAGGUCCCCAAGUUCACGUUAAGUGGAGAAGGAUGUGGAAUUGCACAGACAACCAGGAUGUUGGCUCAGAAGCAGCCACACAUUUAAAGAGUGCGUAAUAGCUCACUGGUCGAGUGAUUGUGCGCCGAAGAUGUCCGGGGCUAAACGUGACACCGAAGCGAUGGGUGCAUCUGAAGAAGAUGCGCGGUAGAGGAGCAAUGUGCAGAGGCAGAAGCCGUAUCGAGAGGCACGGUGGACACUGCACAAGAGAGAAUGCCGGUAUGAGUAGCGAGAGGCAUGCGAGAAACAUGUCCGUCGAAAGCCCAAGGUUUCCUGGGGAAGGUUCAUCCGCCCAGGGUAAGUCGGGGCCUAAGCCGAGGACGGAAGUCGUAGGCGAUGGACAGCAGGUGUAGAUUCCUGCACUACCGAUGGAAUGAAGCAGUGACACAGAAGGAUAACUCGAGCAGGGUGAUGGUCAACCCUGUGCAAGCAUCAAGGUUGGGUUGUAGUGAAGUACGCAACCCUAUAAGCUGAGGUGUGAUGCGGACCGAAAUUUCAGUAGGGAAGCGAGUGAGUUCACGCUGGCGAGAAAAGCUGCUAGUACAUCCAAAGGUACCCGUACCGGAAACCGACGCAGGUGGGCGAGGAGAGAAUCCUGAGACGAACGGGAGAACCCUUGUUAAGGAACUCGGCAAAAUGACCCCGUAACUUCGGGAUAAGGGGUGCCUGCGAGAGCAGGCCGCAGAGAAUAGUCACAAGCGACUGUUUAGCAAAAACACAGGUAUCUGCGAAAGCGAGAGCUGACGUAUAGGUGCUGACACCUGCCCGGUGCUGGAAGGUUAAGGGAACAUGUUAGAGCAAUCGAAGCAUCGAACCGAAGCCCCAGUAAACGGCGGCCGUAACUAUAACGGUCCUAAGGUAGCGAAAUUCCUUGUCGGGUAAGUUCCGACCCGCACGAAUGGUGUAACGACUUGUGAGCUGUCUCAACAGGGGGCCCGGUGAAAUUGAAGUAUGGGUGAAGAUGCCCAUUACCCGCGACUGGACGGAAAGACCCCGUAGAGCUUUACUGCAGCCUGAUAUUGAGUUUCGGUAACUGAUGCACAGGAUAGGUGGGAGUCUGAGAGACAUGGGUUUCGGCUCAUGUGGAGACGGUGUUGGGAUACCACUCUUCGGUUACUGAAAUUCUAACAUAGCUCUGUGAAACCAGAGGAUGGACAGUGUCAGGUGGACAGUUUGACUGGGGCGGUCGCCUCCGAAAGAGUAACGGAGGCGCCCAAAGGUACCCUCAGAAUGGAUGGAAACCAUUCGAAGAGCGCAAAGGCAGAAGGGUGCCUGACUGCGAGAUUGACAAAUCGAGCAGAGACGAAAGUCGGGCUUAGUGAUCCGGCGGUAUUGAGUGGAAAAGCCGUCGCUUAACGGAUAAAAGCUACCUCGGGGAUAACAGGCUGAUCUCCCCCAAGAGUCCACAUCGACGGGGAGGUUUGGCAC